AAGAAUGCUGUAAUGGAAGGGAAUCUGUAGAAUGUAGUUGUGAAUAUCUGUAUCCAUGUUCCCUGUUCAUGAUCUACCAAUCUCGAUGUAGAAUAUUAAGAGGGGACAUGGAGGCAGUAGACAGUUGUGUCUGGUUGUGUCAAAGUAGUCGGUUUGAAUCUGCUUUUCCACUGUGGACAAAGUAAAUUGGCAGCAGUCGGUAGGAUUGGGUCGCGUAGUCAUAUUCAGUGAACGUAAUAAGAUUGUGGUGGGUAGAAUUAUUUAAGCUCAACUUCAAAUAUGCAGGAUAAUACGGCAUAUGAGUCUGAUGAAUUACAUAAUGGCACAAGAAAAGAACAAUCAUCAACGCAAAGGCUGCAAAAUGAGAGAACAGUCAACGAGAGCAGUAUUUUAUCCCCAAACAGCAACCAGACAUAUUUUGCUGAUGAAAGGAUUAUUAUUCCUAAUGUAGAUACGACCUGGUUUAGUUUUCGGAAAUUAUGGGCAUUCACAGGUCCUGGAUUCCUGAUGUCCAUAGCAUAUCUUGAUCCAGGAAAUAUAGAAUCUGAUCUACAAUCUGGUGUAGUUGCAAAAUACAAAUUAUUAUGGGUUUUAAUGAGUGCAACAAUUCUUGGACUCAUCAUGCAGAGAUUAAGUGCUCGGCUUGGUGUAGUGACGGGUCUUCAUUUAGCAGAAAUGUGUUAUAGGCAAUAUAAGAAGGCACCAAGAUUAAUUUUAUGGAUAAUGAUUGAAAUUGCUAUAAUCGGAAGCGAUAUGCAAGAAGUGAUAGGAACUGCAAUAGCCAUAUACCUUCUAUCAAAUAAGAUGGUUCCACUAUGGGGUGGAGUUCUAAUUACAGUCAUCGAUACAUUCACUUUUUUAUUUCUGGACAAAUAUGGCUUGCGAAAACUUGAAUUUUUCUUUGGUUUUCUCAUUACAAUAAUGGCUGUGACAUUUGGUUACGAGUACAUCGUAUCAGCACCACCACAAGAUGAAGUUGUAAAAGGCAUGUUCACACCAUGGUGUAAGGACUGUGAUAAUAGAGCAUUACUGCAAGCUGUUGGUAUUGUUGGUGCAGUUAUAAUGCCGCAUAAUCUUUACCUUCACAGCGCUCUUGUUAAAUCAAGAGAUAUUGAUCGCAAAGAACCUUCUAAGAUCAGAGAAGCCAACAUGUAUUAUUUCGUCGAAGCCUGUAUCGCCUUAUUCGUAUCGUUUUUAAUCAACGUCUUCGUGGUCGCAGUAUUUGCAGACGGCUUGUAUCAGAAAAAGAAUGAAGAUGUUUAUGCAGUUUGCGAAGCUCAUAACUAUACUCUUGGUAUGGAAACGUUUACGAAUGACAAUAACACGUUUGAUGCCGAUCUUUACAAGGGUGGCAUCUAUCUGGGUUGUCAGUUUGGUGCUGCAGCUAUGUAUAUAUGGGCAGUUGGUAUUUUAGCUGCUGGUCAGUCAUCAACGAUGACAGGCACGUAUGCUGGUCAAUUCGCCAUGGAAGGAUUUUUGAACCUCCAGUGGGCCCGUUGGAAACGAGUUUUGUUUACAAGAACAAUUGCCAUCGUUCCAACAUUUAUGAUUGCUUUCUUUGCUCAUAUUGAUGACUUAAGUGGAAUGAAUGACUUAUUGAAUGCUGUCAUGAGUCUUCAACUGCCUUUCGCCACGUUACCUACAAUAGCUUUCACUAGUAGCCCUCAAAUCAUGGGCGAAUUUAAAAAUGGAUUAGGAAACAAAAUCGUAGCCACUGCGUUAUCCGUGCUAGUGAUAUCGAUAAACAUAUACUUUGUGAUCAACACUGUUAAAGAGGAUAUACCACAUCAUUGGGCUAUCAUUUUAGCUAUUGCUGUAUUUGCAAUAUUAUAUUUAGCUUUCUGUUUAUAUUUGGCACUACAUAUGGCCGUAAGCAUGGGAUCAACAACCUUUAGGGACAAUUGGUUUGUCACGAAAUACAUCGGUGGACCGGUGGACCCAAACUUCGGUUUAUCCAAUCAUGCUGCUUAUUCUAGAUUUAUUACAACAAUCACGAAAAAUGUGCACACUGCUUCUUGCUUUAAAUUGAAUGCUUUUUUUCUCAAUGUUUAAUUCCCUGCCGAUUGGGUGUUUUCAAUAUGAAAUUAUAACUUCUGUUUCUUCAAUACGUCGGAAACAUCUCUGGACAGCUAGUCGAAUAUAAACGACUAGAGUAGCUGAAUUAAAUCUAGCUACAGUUCCUAAUAUAAAAAACAUUUAUUGCACCAAGCUUCAAGCUUAUAAUACUUUGUGACGUCAGCAUGAAUAGUGUAUGUUUGAACUUGCAAACUUGAUGUGGAUGCGAUUAACCAGCAACCUCCAAAAAAGAACAAAUACGGCAUUUACCAUUCAAGAUGGCAUACAUGGGAGUUUUGCAAAUCUUCCUACGUACUGAUUGUUAUCAAAUGUAAAAAGCACAAUCGAAACAAGAAACGCAGAAGAAGAGAGUCAAAAGUGUUUUUACGUAAAAUAUACGUUGUUAAGUAAAUUAUAUUUUAUAGCUUAAAACAUGAACGUUCCUCCUUUAAAACUUCAGUGACAUUUGUGAUAAUGUUCAAUUUGUUGAACCUCUUAUGAUUUUACAAAGUAAAUAUAUGAAAGCAAUGUUGCAUCGUUAUUAAUGAGUGCUUUCAUCAAUAAAAUGUGAUUGUGUCUGUAUAGGUGCAUGAGCAAUAUAAUAUUGUAACGUUCCGCUCUUAUAACCCCCUAUCCUUUAUCUUCUUUCCUUCCUAACCACCUUUCUCGGCAAUGGAUAUGUCAAAAGCCUCACAUAAGUGCAUAGCGCACGGUGGAUGUGCAUAAUUAUAUCUGAGAGAACUCAAAUCCUAAAAUUCCUCAAAAAUCCUAUCAACCUCUCACAGCGACGCCGAUAAAGAAAAAGGAAAAUAGGACCUUUAAAUCUCUACUAUUACAUAAUUCCCUUGAAAUUAGUCAUAGCGAAAAUCAUGAGAAAAUAAUAUUAGAGAUUAUUACCUUUAUAAUUCUAAGAAUUCAAAAACUAGUCGAACGACUGGAAUCAAAACAAGUGUCCAAGCGCUAUCAGCCAGUAGGCGCCAAAUACGAUACGAAAAACCAUUAACUCGGUACUUGUAUAAAACGCUAAUCCUAUUAGUAAAAUUAAAAGUCAAAUUAAAUACUAAAUCAAAUAUCAAAUCAAAAAUAGACGUUAACACUUUGGGAUGAUAAAAAUCCCCACUAAAAUUAACGUAUUUCUCUCGAAGAUAUAAGCAGCAGCUUCCUCGACAGGAAUUCAUUUGUGUUAAGUUCCGUUGUUAGUCACAACAACCAGUGUAUACCAAAAAAGGACAAGAAGCAAUAAAAGCUUGAGAAAUACCAUCUCGAUUACAAUACAUUACAAUUACAAUAUA